rnacentral:rRNA from 1 species
GAUGAACGCUGGCGGCGUGCUUAACACAUGCAAGUCGAACGGUGAACACGGAGCUUGCUCUGUGGGAUCAGUGGCGAACGGGUGAGUAACACGUGAGCAACCUGCCCCUGACUCUGGGAUAAGCGCUGGAAACGGCGUCUAAUACUGGAUAUGUGACGUGACCGCAUGGUCUGCGUUUGGAAAGAUUUUUCGGUUGGGGAUGGGCUCGCGGCCUAUCAGCUUGUUGGUGAGGUAAUGGCUCACCAAGGCGUCGACGGGGAGCCGGCCUGAGAGGGUGACCGGCCACACUGGGACUGAGACACGGCCCAGACUCCUACGGGAGGCAGCAGUGGGGAAUAUUGCACAAUGGGCGGAAGCCUGAUGCAGCAACGCCGCGUGAGGGAUGACGGCCUUCGGGUUGUAAACCUCUUUUAGCAGGGAAGAAGCGAAAGUGACGGUACCUGCAGAAAAAGCUCCGGCUAACUACGUG